rnacentral:rRNA from 1 species
GAUGAACGCUGGCGGCUUGCCUAAUACAUUCAAUUCGAGCGAACAUACUAUUAUCUUUCUCCUCUUACUUUAUCUUCUUACUUUUUAUUAACACUUUUAUAACCUACCUAUAAUACUGUUAUAACUUCGUGAAACCGGAGCUAAUACCGGAUAAUAUAUUGAACCGCAUGGUUCAAUAGUGAAAGACGGUUUUGCUGUCACUUAUAGAUGGAUCCGCGCCGCAUUAGCUAGUUGGUAAGGUAACGGCUUACCAAGGCAACGAUGCGUAGCCGACCUGAUAGGGUGAUCGGCCAAACUGGAACUGAGACACGGUCCAGACUCCUACGGGAGGCAGCAGUAGGGAAUCUUCCGCAAUGGGCGAAAGCUUGACGGAGCAACGCCGCGUGAGUGAUGAAGGUCUUCGGAUCGUAAAACUCUGUUAUUAGGGAAGAACAAAUGUGUAAGUAACUAUGCACGUCUUGACGGUACCUAAUCAGAAAGCCACGGCUAACUACGUG